rnacentral:tRNA from 1 species
GUGGGAGUGCCGGAGCGGUCAAACGGGCUGGGUUUAGGCCCCAGUGGCUUAGUGCCUGCGCAGGUUCGAACCCUGUCUCCCACA